rnacentral:rRNA from 1 species
GUGGAUUAGAUACCCUGGUAGUCCACGCUGUAAACGUUGUAUACUAGGUGUUAGCGGCUAGUCUGCUAGUGCCGAAGCAAACGCAUUAAGUAUACCGCCUGGGGAGUACGCCCGCAAGGGUGAAACUCAGAGAAAUUGACGGGGGCCCGCACAAGCGGUGGAGCAUGUGGUUUAAUUCGAUGAUACGCGAAAAACCUUACCUGGGCUUGAACUGUGCAUGACCGGCGUAGAGAUACGCUUUUCCUUCGGGACAUGCAUAGAGGUGCUGCAUGGCUGUCGCCAAUU